rnacentral:rRNA from 2 species
ACUCUGGUAUUGAUUGGUGCUUGCAUCAUGAUUUACAUUUGAGUGAGUGGCGAACUGGUGAGUAACACGUGGGAAACCUGCCCAGAAGCGGGGGAUAACACCUGGAAACAGAUGCUAAUACCGCAUAACAACUUGGACCGCAUGGUCCGAGUUUGAAAGAUGGCUUCGGCUAUCACUUUUGGAUGGUCCCGCGGCGUAUUAGCUAGAUGGUGGGGUAACGGCUCACCAUGGCAAUGAUACGUAGCCGACCUGAGAGGGUAAUCGGCCACAUUGGGACUGAGACACGGCCCAAACUCCUACGGGAGGCAGCAGUAGGGAAUCUUCCACAAUGGACGAAAGUCUGAUGGAGCAACGCCGCGUGAGUGAAGAAGGGUUUCGGCUCGUAAAACUCUGUUGUUAAAGAAGAACAUAUCUGAGAGUAACUGUUCAGGUAUUGACGGUAUUUAACCAGAAAGCCACGGCUAACUACGUGCCAGCAGCCGCGGUAAUACGUAGGUGGCAAGCGUUGUCCGGAUUUAUUGGGCGUAAAGCGAGCGCAGGCGGUUUUUUAAGUCUGAUGUGAAAGCCUUCGGCUCAACCGAAGAAGUGCAUCGGAAACUGGGAAACUUGAGUGCAGAAGAGGACAGUGGAACUCCAUGUGUAGCGGUGAAAUGCGUAGAUAUAUGGAAGAACACCAGUGGCGAAUGCAGCUGUCUGGUCUGUAACUGACGCUGAGGCUC